rnacentral:tRNA from 38 species
GGGCGCGUAGCUCAGCUGGAUAGAGUACCUGGCUACGAACCAGGCGGUCGCAGGUUCGACUCCUGCCGCGCCCACCA